GACGGGGGAUGCAAGCGAUAUCCGGAAUCACUGUGCGUAAAGCGUCGGUAGGUGGUGAUGCAAGUCACUGGUGCAAAACUCUGGCUCAACCGGAGGAAAGCCAGUGAAACUGCAUGACUAGAGUGUGGGAGAGGUAGAAGGAAUUCCCUGAGUAGCGGUGAAAUGCGUAGAUACAGGGAAGAACACCGGAGGCGAAAGCGUUCUACUGGAACACAACUGACACUGAGAGACGAAAGCUAGGGGAGCGAAGGGG
rnacentral:rRNA from 1 species